rnacentral:rRNA from 1 species
GAGGGAAUCUUCCACAAUGGACGCAAGUCUGAUGGAGCAACGCCGCGUGAGUGAAGAAGGUCUUCGGAUCGUAAAGCUCUGUUGUUGGUGAAGAAGGAUAGAGGCAGUAACUGGUCUUUAUUUGACGGUAAUCAACCAGAAAGUCACGGCUAACUACGUGCCAGCAGCCGCGGUAAUACGUAGGUGGCAAGCGUUGUCCGGAAUUAUUGGGCGUAAAGCGAGCGCAGGCGGAAUGAUAAGUCUGAUGUGAAAGCCCACGGCUCAACCGUGGAACUGCAUCGGAAACUGUCAUUCUUGAGUGCAGUAGAGGAGAGUGGAAUUCCAUGUGUAGCGGUGGAAUGCGUAGAUAUAUGGAGGAGCACCAGUGGCGAAGGCGGCUCUCUGGUCUGCAACUGACGCUGAGGCUCGAAAGCAUGGGUAGCGAACAGG